rnacentral:lncRNA from 1 species
UAGUCUUAACCAUACUUAAAUCCCAAUUACCUUAUUACUUUCAUAUUUAAGUAAUUUAGAUUUUUCUUAUAAGCCCCAAUCCUAAUCAAUGAGCUUUAACAAGCUAUAACAUCCAAUCCGAUUGUCCACUUGAUAUAGAAUUUUGCAUGCAAUUUUCAAUGGAAGACUUCUAUACGCUCAAGAAUUUUUAGCUCAAUCCAACUUACAAAUUGUGAGAAAACCUCUAAAAAUUGCACUAAUAUCACUCGGCCGCCAGCUUGAAAAAUAAAAUAGAAAUCUCAAUAAUGAUUCCUCCCUUUUCAACUAUUAACUUUGUCUCAAAAUUAGUAUAUAGCUUGAUCUUUAAGUCCUACAACACCAUGCUAAUUUUUACCUUAAUCUGACAAAUAGAUCUUCAGAUAUCAUAGAAAUCCUAUCCAACUUCAAACUGCCACCUUUCAAAAUCUUCUUGUGCUAAAAAUUAGAUAUCUCUAAACCAUGCCAUUAGAUUAUAACAAAAUUUUUUAUACACUCAGCACAUCCAAUAAUCCAAAAAACAUCAAAUUUUCAAUUGUAGAUAUUAUACCAGUUGUAUGAAUUAGCCAACAUUGCUAGCCCUAAUUAUAUUAUAUAAAACCCAAAUCACUGAUACAAA